GAGGGCGCCACUCACCCGUGUCCAGAGACGAGAGGGGCGGGAGGAGAGGGGACGUGGUGAGAGAGACGCAAAGAGAGGGGGAGGAGGAGCGUGGAGGAGACGACAUACGCGAGAACGGACGAGAAGGAAGGGACAAGAGGGAGAGGCAAGAGGUAGAACAAGAUUAAGAGAUACAAAAGAGGCAAGGCGGCGACGAGGAUGGCAAGGAGCAGGAAGAUCAGGACGGAGAGGAUGACCGUGAUCACCACCAUUCCUCCCGAGCGCGAGAACGCCUCCGCGUCCACCGCGCUGCGGGGGGUGCGCGCAUUCGCCGUGCUGAGGAUCCCGGGCACAGACUGCAAUCCCAACGUUGAAUGGCGGAGAACCACCCUGUGGGGGGAAAGGAGGGUGGGGUUAUUGUUUAAGAAUAGUUCCAUCCCUAUCCAGGAUAGCCUCACAGAGUCUCAAACUUCUUUCAAGGAGGGUCCUGUCACCUUUUUGUGGCACAGGGGAAUCCCAAGUGAGUGAUUUGUAGAUAUUUUUAGCGCUGCGAUACGGUGUUUGUCCAAUUCGGGUUACAUUGUAUGGGGGGGUUUUAGCCAUGGGAGAAAACCAGCGAACCCACGUUGCAUUCUGCACGCACACAGCGAACACUCGGACCGUGCAUACGCGUGUGUACCUUGCAUAUUAUUAUUACCCUUGUUUUCCCAGGAAAGCUCCAAGCGGAGUCUCAACUGUUUCUCAGGAUGGUCCUACCAAGUCUUGACAGUAGGGGGCGGGGGGCAAUGUUGAUAUGCGAAAUCCCCAAUCAAGUAAUUUGCAUUGGGUAAUUUUCUGAAUUGAGAUGUUUGGCCAAUACCGGUUACAUUGUAGGAUUUAUUUCGGCGAUGGGAGGAAACUGGAGAAGCCAGAGGAAGCCCAUGUGGAACAGGGGGAGAGCUUGCAAACUCCACACGGAAAGGUGUCCCAGUUGGAAUCGAACCCAUGAGCUUGCUGUGAGGCGCGAGUGUUCUCACUGCGCUGUCAGCCUGCCGCACAAGUGGGAUGAUCGGUGCGCGGGGGUGGAGGAGUGAGGCCGGGGACAGGGCUGGUGUGUCGCCUCCAUAGUUCCUGCGCGGAGGGAGGCGCUGUAGCCGUAGGGACGGGACGCGCGCCGCGCGGUAUCCUGCAUAGACCACCCCGUCGCCUUCAGUGUCUCAACAAUGUAUAUGUUUUUAAAACUUUGAUUUUUUUAAUACAUUACAACGAUCGGCUCGUAAUCUAAAAAUUGAGAGUUCAAUUCUGGUUGAGGGGGUUGACUCGGUUCACGGCUCUAUCCAGUGGCCGCCCUGAUUAAUACUGCGGGCGUAUUAACGGUAGAAAAAAGUCUGCUUCACAGUGGACGUGAAUGAGCCCUUGCAAAUUAUUCAAUUAGGAUGACAUACAGCAGCAGCCAUCGCUCUCUACUGCGAAAACUUGGCAGGACCCUCCUGAAACAAAGUCAUGGGUAAACAAGCAGAACGAUAAUAAACAGAUUACUGCUUCUU